AUAAAUUCGGACCGUCGGUCCACCGAGCAAUUUCACCAGCUCGGUAGAAGAUCUUCCUUGUUGUCGU
rnacentral:pre_miRNA from 1 species